AGGCCAUCGUCAAGCCAUCUGGAUCAGUUCUGGUCUUAUUUGCUAGUUCGUCGGCAAUUUCGUUACCAUAUAUUCCUGAGUGGCUUGGGAUCCAGAGAAAGGUGACUUGCGUUCCUGCUGAUUUUAAGUUUUUUAUUAAUUCAAUGAUUUCAGGAAUUAGUGAGCUGGCUUCCCAUUUAAAGUGUGUGACGGCUUGAAUUGCUGACUUGGAGUCAGUUAUGAUUAUAAUAUCUUGCCAGUCGAGGAUGAAAAAAGCGCAGGAUGAAACUUUUUCGAGUUGGUGACACGAUCCAUCUGUGAAUACGGAGAGGGCUGAGUCUGCUGCAUUUUCAGUGAAUCUCCUGAAUAAUUCUUGAUUUGGCGAUUUUGUAGAGCAGGCCCGUGAUCCAGGUGUCGUCAUACGCUUUGGCGAGGUCGAGGAAGAUAGCUGUUGUGGUGUGGUUUUGGUUGAAUCCACUUUUAAUGGCUGCUUCUAAUUGGAUGAGGUUGUCUGAAGUGGUGCAUCCCCGUCGGAAUCCAGUCUGGUGUUUGGUUUUGCCAGGCAGGAGGUCAGGGAAAUCGGACGGUACGAGUCGGCGUUUUCUGGUGCUUUCCCAGGCUUUAGGAUUGGGGUUACUGUCGCGUUCUUCCAUGCAUUCGGUCUUCCUUCUUCCCAUAGUUCCGAGUGUGCGUUCAUGUCACCGCCUAUGAUCGUCUCGUUGCGUGGGGUGUUGAAGAUUGACUCAAUCUCUUCUGCUGUGCAUGCAUUGCCGUUUGGGCAGUAAAUGGAUAGGAUAUCGAUGGGUUGGUUAUUCCUAGUCCUAAUUGUUAUUCCUAUUGCUUCGAUGUUCCUUGAUGGUGGGAGUGGUAGGGGGGCCGUCGGGAUAUUCUUCUUAACUAGUAUGGCUACUCCGCCACCUAGUGUUGGACGGUUAAGUGUAAAGGAUUUGUAUGCUGAGAAUUUGGCUGUGUAGUUAUCUCUCCAAUGGGUUUCGCUGAGGAGGACGAUAUGGGGGUUGGUUAACUUAAGAUUGUAUUUAAACUCCUGUAACUUAGAUUUGUAGAGGCUUCUUGCGUUCCAUUGGAUAACUUUUAGUGGUUUGGUCAUUUUUUUGGUGUGUUUUGGUUGGUGCUAGUAACGGGGUUUGGUUUUGCUUGGGGUCGGAGGUUUGGGCUUAUUACUCUCUCGAGGAGGGAAUGAAGUUUCGCUAGUUGUUCUUGGGUGUCGGUGAAUCCCUUACGCAUUUCCUUAUUAUUUUGGUCUACUAUUGUGGGUAGGGCGACGAGGGGUUCAAUUUGUUCCUUCACUGUUGCCAAUUCUGAUUCCAGGUUAGCUACUCUGGUUGUCAGUUCCGUGAUGGGUGGGGAUAAUAAGAGGUUGUCCAUCUGCUGUUUCAGUUGUUUGACUUCGCGGCGCAGCGCCAGGAUUUCAGGAUUCUCUUGUUCAAUGGAGGGUAGGUGGAUUGGUUUCGCUUGGUGGUCUCUUCUAUCUAGGAGUUUUCCUGCUUCACUAAUCGGGAUAUUGUUCUCAUAAGCGAAUCUUAUUACUUUCUGUUUAUUGGCAAAGAGGGGGCAAGCAUUUGAGCCCGCGGCGUGACCUGUCUUAUGGCAUGUUGGGCAUAGUAGUGGAUUCGGGCAAGAGGGGGAUGGGGGGUGUUGUUGGGCGCAGUAUCUACAUAUUGCAGCGAUUUGGCAAGUAUCUUCUUGGUGCUGGAGUGACCAACAUUUGCGGCAUUGAGAGGGGCGUGGGAUGAAUUUUUUAACUCUGAAGAUUUCGUGGGCUACGAUAACUUCACUAGGGAGGAUUUUAGAGUUAAAGAAUAAAGCUACUGUCGUCAGUGGUGAUUUUCCUCCUUCUGGGCCUGAGUGGAAUCGUUUAACUUUUAUGACUCCUUGGUUAGACAAUAGUUCUAGUAGGUCGUUGUCGGAAUUGUUAAUGGGCACAUUGUAGAUUAUACCUUUUAGUUCAGUCUCUGAUUUACUUAGUGAACAGGUGAUUUGGAAUUCUUUUACCGCAUGUAGCUCUAGUAGAUUUUUCUUUUGCCGGUUUGACGUGGGGUAGAUGUAGAGUUGUCCAUGCUUUGUCCACUUAGUGCCAUCUUUUACGGUGCCAAUAGUGUCGAUUAGUCCGUUGAUGAAGUGUUUUUUCUCCAGUAGACUUAGCUUGUCGAAUGAUUGGGGUUCACUAACAAGGUUCACAAUCACAGGGGCUCCAUUUUCAGGGGGAGAAUUAAGAGUGUCAAUCAGCCGGGCGUGUUGGGGGCGAGGCGCGUGAGGGUAGUUUAGUCUUCGUUUGGCAUUGCCUUCUUCGAUUCCAUCCAUGGUGUGGUCGAUGGGCUCGGAUAAAGAGAUUGGAUUUUGUUCGUCGGUCAUAGUCGCGUGGGCGAGG